GGCGGGAUAGCUUAGAGGCAGAGCAUCCUAUUCAAAUGGGAUUACGGAGGUUCGAAUCCUUCUCCCGCCG
rnacentral:tRNA from 1 species